UUGUGAUAGCUUCAGCUCCACAGGCUCCUUGGGGAAAGCAGAGAGAUUCUACAAGCUGCAAAGGACUGUGUAUGCUUAAGGAGACAACUGGUCAGCAAGAAGCUCUGGUUAGUAAGGAAGCUGUGCAUGUCUUACAGUGCACUUUUUUUUCAGCAAACCCUUCCCUAGACUUAGCAGCUGUCACUGAUACAGAGAUUUGGAAGUUUCCUGCACAUACAGGUGCUGCAAUUAAACUGCUCACAAAAGCCUGCUUGUCAGAUGGCAAACUGUUCCUAACGAAGGCAAAAAUGAAACAGAAGAAAAAUUUAAAGUCACAAGCUUUUCUUGGUUAUAAAAAUGCUUGUGUGUAUGUUGUCAAUUCAUCACUAUGAAGCUCAAGGAAGACACUCAAAAUUUGAAACGCCGAAAAACAGUGACCCCUCUGCUUGUUGGUAUGAGAAUAGGGAAAUAAGCAGGAAUGAAAGUCAAUGUCAUAUCAACUCUCUUAAGGUAUCAGCUUGUGUGCAUGCUCUUAUAAUGUGCAAGGAGCACACAGAAAUACUGCAGGGAAAUACCAGAAGACCAGUGGUCCUGCCGUUGGUGUUUGGCAUUACUUAAAGUUAGUAAUGGUAAUUAAACCUAUUUCUAGCUUGAAAACCAGCAAAGAAUAACUGAAACAUUACAAGUUCCUUGUUUGGAAACAGUUUAUACUUUGCAUAUGUGUCUAAUGAAGAGCUAUUUUGCAUUGAAAUACAGUGGCACAGACUUGGUUUAAGAAGAAAGUGUCACUUUUUUAAUAGUUGAUGUAUCACAAAAAAUUAUCUCUAAUGGAUAACACAUUUCUUGUAAUAUUGCUGUAUUUAUCUUGCUUUGGUAUGGGUAAA